AGCAUCCUACGGGAGGCAGCAGUGGGGAAUAUUGCACAAUGGGCGCAAGCCUGAUGCAGCCAUGCCGCGUGUAUGAAGAAGGCCUUCGGGUUGUAAAGUACUUUCAGCAGUGAGGAAGGUGGGUAUGUUAAUAGCAUACUCAUUUGACGUUAGCUGCAGAAGAAGCACCGGCUAACUCCGUGCCAGCAGCCGCGGUAAUACGGAGGGUGCGAGCGUUAAUCGGAAUUACUGGGCGUAAAGCGCAUGCAGGUGGUUUGUUAAGUCAGAUGUGAAAGCCCGGGGCUCAACCUCGGAAUUGCAUUUGAAACUGGCAAACUAGAGUACUGUAGGAGGGGGUAGAAUUUCAGGUGUAGCGGUGAAAUGCGUAGGGAUCUGAAGGAAUACCGGUGGCGAAGGCGGCCCCCUGGACAGAUACUGACACUCAGAUGCGAAAGCGUGGGGAGCAAACAGGAUUAGAUACCCUGGUAG
rnacentral:rRNA from 1 species